AUUGAACGCUGGCGGCAGGCCUAACACAUGCAAGUCGAGCGGUAGCACAGAGAGCUUGCUCUCGGGUGACGAGCGGCGGACGGGUGAGUAAUGUCUGGGAAACUGCCUGAUGGAGGGGGAUAACUACUGGAAACGGUAGCUAAUACCGCAUAACGUCGCAAGACCAAAGUGGGGGACCUUCGGGCCUCAUGCCAUCAGAUGUGCCCAGAUGGGAUUAGCUAGUAGGUGGGGUAACGGCUCACCUAGGCGACGAUCCCUAGCUGGUCUGAGAGGAUGACCAGCCACACUGGAACUGAGACACGGUCCAGACUCCUACGGGAGGCAGCAGUGGGGAAUAUUGCACAAUGGGCGCAAGCCUGAUGCAGCCAUGCCGCGUGUGUGAAGAAGGCCUUCGGGUUGUAAAGCACUUUCAGCGGGGAGGAAGGCGUUAAGGUUAAUAACCUUGGCGAUUGACGUUACCCGCAGAAGAAGCACCGGCUAACUCCGUGCCAGCCGCCGCAGUAA
rnacentral:rRNA from 1 species